rnacentral:rRNA from 1 species
AUGGAUACGAGCAGCACGAUUCAGACUGCCGUCGAGGCGGCCCGCGUGCCAGGCCUGUCGGUCGCCUCGGCGGUGCUCGCCAUUCUGGUGGUGGCGCUCAGCACCUACAGCCGCCGCUGCCGCCACCCGGCGCUCCGCUUCGUCGUCUGGGGCGCCUCCGUCGCCUUCAUCCCGCUCACCUCCUCGGCCAUCAGCGCCUUGCUGGGGGAGAGGAAGGCGCUGCAAGGCUGCAAGGGGCGCCCAGGCUGCCAGAAAGUCGAGGAAGGCAAGAACAGCCGGGAGGUCCAGACCAUGUGGACGCUCCUCCUGUGGAGCGUGCUCAUCGUCGUCAUCAAGGGCAACGCUGACGCCGCCGCGGCCUCGGCGGCCGCCGCCUCCGCCUCGCCUUCCUCCGGCGACGUCGGCGUCGACGGCCAGAAGGUCCGGACCCCCGUGGAGCUCCUCUUCAUGUACGCCUGGGUGGCUUGCCUCAUCGUGAUGUGCAUCCCCGAGGCGACAUGGUUGGGCAUACUGGGAAAAGCAGUUUUCAUCGUCUUCUUCCUGCUCGGCUUUGCCAAGGUGGUGCUUAAGCUGGUCGCCUUCUUCAUGGCGGGCAACUCUUACGCCGUCGGCAAGAACGCCCGGCUUGUCUCCGGCUACAUGGCCCAGCUCGUGGAGGACGGCGCGGAGGAGGGCAAUGGGCAUGUGCCUCCUUACGUGGUGGUAGGGGAGAGCAAGGAGCACGUCGAGGAAAAGCCCCAGGGGUACCGCAUCAAGAGCGACGCUCUCAAGAAUAAGCUCAGCACACUCGUGACCCUCAACCGUGUUUGGUGGCUGUCCGACCAUGGCGACGGCCUCCUCGCCAAGCGGCGGGAGCUCAGGGACCUCUGCCUUUCAUUCUCCCUAUUCAAGAGUCUCCGUCGUCGGCUCUCGGGGUACCCCUUGGCAGAGGCAGGGUCUAGCAACGCCGUCGACUUCGUGCUCAGGGGCAUGGACGCUGCCGCCGGGGACGGCAAAGGAGGCACCGACACGGACCGGGUGUUCCGAGUCCUCGUGGACGAGCUCUGGUUUGCAAGUGAUUUCUACUACUCUCCACUCCCAUUGUGCUCGUUCAGUGGGUGGUGCGCCGUCCUGAACUACAUCCUUUCGGUUCUCAUCAUCGCUGGAGCUAUCGGCGUGGGAGUGGUUUAUCAUGGCAAAAGGGUAAUCGCCUUCAGACCCGACUCCGGAGAGGACCCGGCUCCAGAUCCAGCAUCUUACCAAAAAGCUUAUUACUUCAUCACUUUGUUCCUCCUGCUGGCCACCGUGCUCACCGAAGCCUGUGAGAUCAUCGCCGGCGUGUGCUCCAACUGGACCAAGAUGGCCUUGCUCGGCCACUACAUCAGAUUCAGAAGCGGUACACCGGGGCGCUGCACUGACGCGGCGCUAGAAAGAGUGUUGCGUCUCAGGCCGGCGAAGCGCUGGAGUGACAAGAUCGGACAGAACUCUGUACUGGAGCCUCGCCGUUUCGGCAAGCGGUCGGGGCUUUUCUCGGAGAAGCUGUACGGGCGCGCAGGGCUGAUGAGAUCGGUGGAAGUCUCGCCGGCCGUGAAGGACGCGGUGCUCAGGUCCUUCAAGAGCAGCUAUGGGGGACUGGACAAAGGAAGCACGCCGGCAGCGCACCUGGUGGGCCUCGGAGGCAAGGUCGACAGCUGGGCGUGGCCGGCGAUCGGCGCCGGAAGCGGCACCAGCAGCACCACGGAGCAUAUCCUCGCUUGCCACAUCGGCACGAGGCUCUUCGAGAUCAAGUACUCGCACGCGGCCUACCCGGCGUCGGCGGCGGCCGACAUGACAGCCGCCUGCCAUUUGUCGUACUACUGCGCGUACCUGGUGGCGGCCACGCCAGGGCUGCUGCCGGACAGCCCGGCGUGGACCGACAAGCGGUACAAGGAAGUGGUGGCGGACGUGAAGGCGGCGCUGGGAAAGGACGACGACGGCGCCAGCGAAUCGACGACGCAGAGGUACGAGCGGCUACGCAAGGAGCUGAGCGCGACCACCAGGGACGAGGUGCUGCAGCGCGGCGCCGAGCUUGGGAGCCGCUUGGUGGAGGCGUACCCGGAGGACGAGGCAGCGGCAUGGCGGUUCCUGGCGGAUUUCUGGUCGGAGAUGGUGCUCUUCGUGGCGCCGUCGAAGAACGUCAAGGGCCAUGUCGAGGCCAUGGGGCGCGGCGGGGAGUUCGUCACGCUCGUCUGGGCGUUGCUCCUGCACGCCGGCGUCACUGACAGGCCUGGGACAGCUGACGGUAGUGGCGUCCCGUAA